AUUGAACGCUGGCGGCAUGCCUUACACAUGCAAGUCGAACGGUAACAGGCCGCAAGGUGCUGACGAGUGGCGAACGGGUGAGUAAUGCAUCGGAACGUGCCCAGUCGUGGGGGAUAACUGCUCGAAAGAGCAGCUAAUACCGCAUACGACCUGAGGGUGAAAGCGGGGGACCGUAAGGCCUCGCGCGAUUGGAGCGUCCGAUGUCAGAUUGGCUAGUUGGUGGGGUAAAGGCCUACCAAGGCAACGAACUGUAGUUGGUCAGAGAGGACGACCAGCCACACUGGGACUGAGACACGGCCCAGACUCCUACGGGAGGCAGCAGUGGGGAAUUUUGGACAAUGGGCGCAAGCCUGAUCCAGCAAUGCCGCGUGCAGGAAGAAGGCCUUCGGGUUGUAAACUGCUUUUGUCAGGGAAGAAAUCUUCUGGGCUAAUACCCCGGGAGGAUGACGGUACCUGAAGAAUAAGCACCGGCUAACUACGUGCCAGCAGCCGCAGUAACAC
rnacentral:rRNA from 1 species